AUGAUUGAGGUACUGACAACAACUGACUCUCAGAAACUGCUACACCAGCUGAAUGCCCUUUUGGAACAGGAGUGUAGAUGUCGGCCAGAGGUCUGUGGCUUGGACUAACUGAGUAUGCACACGACAGUGGCCUCAGAAUGACUGCAAGACAAAGGGACUUUGAAGUAAAACAUCUCUUAGUCUAACUCAGUUCUUUGGCUUCAACACAGAGACAUUCUCUAGCUGUGGAUUUACUGGACAGAUCCUGUCUAAACUGAAGGUACAGCCCAAGCACCUUGAACUGAGCUGCUUCCAUUUGGCUUUCAAAUCAAUCGAAGAGGAAAGGAAUGUCCCAUUGGUGACUGACUUGAUUUGAAUAAGUCAAUACAGGUUUACGGUUUCAGACUUGAUGAGAAUGGAAAAGAUUGUAUUGGAGAAGGUAUGUUGGAAAGUCAAAGCUACUACUGCCAUUCAUUUUCUCCAAAUGUAUUACUCACUCCUUCAGGAGAAUUUGCCAUUUGAAAGGAGAAGUAGCAUUAGUUUUGAAAGACUAGAAGCUCAACUUAAGGUAUAUCAUUGCAGGAUUGUAUUUUCUAAAGCAAAGCCUUCUCUGUUGGCAUUGCCUAUCACUGUAUUAGAGAUCCAAGCACAGGAGUGUGUGGAGUUAACAGAAGGAGUAGAAUGUCUCCAGAAACAUUCCAACAUAAAUGGCAGAGAUUUGCCCUUCUGGCAGGAGCUUGUAUCCAAGUGUUUAACUGAAUAUUCAUUAAACAAGUGUUCCAAACCAAAUGUUGAGAAGUUAAAAUGGAUUGUUUCUGAGUGUACUGCAUGGUAAUUGAAGCAUAGUUACAACAGAAUAACUUACCUUCUAACAAUUCCUGAAAUGAUUCCUUAAUUGGAAUAUUACAGCACAAAAAAACUUCUCUGAAGCCUUUCUCCACAACCUUGCUCUAUGGAUUCCAUACUGUUACAAUGGAUUUAAGGUAUGAAGCCUCAAAACAUUACAAGAUAAGCAUGAUGGUCUCAUACUUCAGAAAACUGCCUAAUUAAUGUUCUGCUGUAGUGGAAUUAUGUUUAGAUUUGAAUUCAUCUGUGGAACAUUCAAAUCAAAGCUAAAAGCCUAAAUGUGAAAUGCUAAUGACAAGCCUGAGAAGGUAAACUGUGAAUUUUCAUUUCUAUCAUCGAUCUAACUUUAAAUAUUGGAUCAAUAUCUUUGGGUGAUAUUGAAAAUGGUAUCAGAGGAGCCACACUAGUACUAUCAACUAUCAGUCUUCCCAUAGCUUCAAUCACUCUCAUUAUUCUAAUCCUACUCCUACUUAAUUUAAGUAUUAAAUUUUAAGUUAUGAUGUUUACAUCAAAAGCAACAUUUCACAGGUGCAUGUUUAAGGCAUAAUAAGGGUUAACAUUCUAGGCAGUGUAAACACACCCCAUAAUGCAAGUAAUGGAUAAUCCAGAGAUGUGGACUUUAUUGCUAUAUGGGAGUUACAGUUAAAUUUGAGGGCACUUUAUAUAAAGAAAAAUACAGACCUAGAAAGUUUGGCAUAUCCAUAAUGUUAUCUUUAAUAUUUUUUUCUAGAAAACAGGUGACAUUUGUAUCUACGAUAAAAUUUUUAUACAGAACCUACUGCCUCAAACUGAAUCCCAUCAAAAAAAUUUGUUUCUAUUGUAUUAGUAACUCAGAAUGAAUUAUCACUUUGAAAAUUUGCUUUCCCACACUAAGGUAAGUUCAGGCUAGAU